UGAGGAAUAUUGGUCAAUGGGCGAGAGCCUGAACCAGCCAAGUAGCGUGCAGGAUGACGGCCCUACGGGUUGUAAACUGCUUUUGCGGGAGAAUAAAGGUGGCCACGCGUGGCCAUUUGCAGGUAUCCCGUGAAUAAGGACCGGCUAAUUCCGUGCCAGCAGCCGCGGUAAUACGGAGGAUGCGAGCGUUAUCCGGAUUUAUUGGGUUUAAAGGGUGCGCAGGCGGCGCGCCAAGUCAGCGGUCAAAGUUCCGGGCCCAACCCGGUGUCGCCGUUGAAACUGGCGUGCUCGAGUGCGUGCGAGGAAGGCGGAAUGCGUUGUGUAGCGGUGAAAUGCAUAGAUAUGACGCAGAACUCCGAUUGCGAAGGCAGCUUUCCAGCGCGCUACUGACGCUGAGGCACGAAAGCGUGGG
rnacentral:rRNA from 1 species